UACGUAGGGUGCGAGCGUUAAUCGGAAUUACUGGGCGUAAAGCGAGCGCAGGCGGUUUUGUAAGCCAGAUGUGAAAUCCCCGGGCUCAACCUGGGAACUGCGUUUGGAACUGCAAGGCUAGAGUGUGUCAGAGGGAGGUAGAAUUCCACGUGUAGCAGUGAAAUGCGUAGAGAUGUGGAGGAAUACCGAUGGCGAAGGCAGCCUCCUGGGAUAACACUGACGCUCAUGCUCGAAAGCGUGGGGAG
rnacentral:rRNA from 1 species